UAAGUAGUCUGAUUACUUUAUAUCUACAUAUGACCUCAUUAUAUUGUAUAGCAGAUUAACAAUAAAUUUGUUCCAGUUGUGUUAUACUGUGAGACAGUUUCAGCCAAAAGUUCAAUAAUAUGUUUAUCAAAGUCACCAAACAAGCAUAACAGGUUGUUAAUAAAAUAUUGUCCAUUUCCUAAUAAACUGGCUGAAGUAAUAAUAAGGGUGAUGUUAAUAAUAAAAAGAUCCUAAAGUCAGGGCUCAGUACUGGUAUAAAAAGUAUAAAUGGGAUGUGCCAUAAAGUCUAGGAAGGUUUGGUGCUUUGGUUCGGAAACCACUGGUCCUAUUAUGCUCAUUGAUGUUACCAAAGGAGUGCAGUACCUGAAUGAGAUUAAGGACAAUGUUGUAGCUGGGUUCCAAUGGGCAACAAAAGAGGUACAGUAAUU
rnacentral:lncRNA from 1 species